AUGAACGCUGGCGGUGUGCCUAAUACAUGCAAGUCGAGCGAACAGACGAGGAGCUUACUCCUCUGACGUUAGCGGCGGACGGGUGAGUAACACGUGGAUAACCUACCUAUAAGACUGGGAUAACUUCGGGAAACCGGAGCUAAUACCGGAUAACAUGUUGAACCGCAUGGUUCAACAGUGAAAGACGGUCUUGCUGUCACUUAUAGAUGGAUCCGCGUCGCAUUAGCUAGUUGGUAAGGUAACGGCUUACCAAGGCAACGAUGCGUAGCCGACCUGAGAGGGUGAUCGGCCACACUGGAACUGAGACACGGUCCAGACUCCUACGGGAGGCAGCAGUAGGGAAUCUUCCGCAAUGGGCGAAGGCCUGACGGAGCAACGCCGCGUGAGUGAAGAGGGUCUUCGGAUCGUAAAACUCUGUUAUUAGGGAAGAACAAAUGUGUAAGUAACUAUGCACGUCUUGACGGUACCUAAUCAGAAAGCCACGGCUAACUACGUG
rnacentral:rRNA from 1 species